rnacentral:rRNA from 1 species
GAUGAACGCUGGCGGUGUGCCUAAUACAUGCAAGUCGUGCGAACAGACGAGGAGCUUGCUCCUCUGACGUUAGCGGCGGACGGGUGAGUAACACGUGGAUAACCUACCUAUAAGACUGGGAUAACUUCGGGAAACCGGAGCUAAUACCGGAUAAUAUAUUGAACCGCAUGGUUCAAUAGUGAAAGACGGUUUUGCUGUCACUUAUAGAUGGAUCCGCGCCGCAUUAGCUAGUUGGUAAGGUAACGGCUUACCAAGGCAACGAUGCGUAGCCGACCUGAGAGGGUGAUCGGCCACACUGGUACUGAGACACGGUCCAGACUCCUACGGGAGGCAGCAGUAGGGAAUCUUCCGCAAUGGGCGAAAGCCUGACGGAGCAACGCCGCGUGAGUGAUGAAGGUCUUCGGAUCGUAAAACUCUGUUAUUAGGGAAGAACAAAUGUGUAAGUAACUAUGCACGUCUUGACGGUACCUAAUCAGAAAGCCACGGCUAACUACGUG